UGUCAUAUUGCAUUCAACUGUACAUAUAACACAGUGCUUGUGUCUGUAUAUAUAUUGCAAUAUCCUCCAAGUGUCCCGUUUGAGACUUUCAAAAUCUGGUCACCCUACUUAGAAGUUAAAAAAAAAAAAAUGCUUAAAUUUGACCUGAACUUUGUUACAGGGUAGAAGACUCACAUCUUCUUCAAACACUUGUGUCCUAGUGUGACUUUGAAACAAUGCUGACCACCAACAUGAUCAACGUCGGCAAAUCUGACGUAGUGAAUUGUGCUCUGCUGCGUGCCUUUGGCCAUGCAAGGUUUGACCCUCAGAAGAAAAUCAGUGUUAUCUUUAUGGAUGAUGAUGGUCAAGGAGAGGGAGCUCCUUGAUGGUGGACCAAUGCAUGAAUUUUUACAUCUCUUGCUAAUAGACAUUAGAAGGUGCACAAUAUUUCAAGGACCUGACAACCAGAAACAUUUGUCAUUAGAUGUAAAUGCACUGCAUACAGGGCUCUACAGUCUUGUAGCGAAGAUGACUUCAGUGUGCCUAAUUCACGGAGGGGUUGCUCUCCAUUUCUUCUCAGACAGGCUAUUUAACUGGAUUUCUGGAAAACCCACAGGCCCUGCUAGUCUCACAGAUAUUGGAGACCAAGAUGUCUGAGAAAGACUGCAAAAAAUAAAGAAUGCAGAGACAAUUGUUAAAGCAAGAGAGGCCAAUCUUCAGGCUUCUGAGACCCUCACAGUCCUGGGGACAAUGCACCACAUUACCUCCAUGGAGGAGAGGGACAGCUUAGUAACACACUCUAUCCAGCAGUAUGAAGAGGGACGUGUACAAAUGGGAUUUCAACAGUGAUAACAAACAUUGUAUUUUCCCUAAUGAUUUAUAAUGCAAAGUGAGUGCUAAUACAUAGGUUUUGUCUUUAUGGGUUAUGUUUCACUGUACAGAUUCAUGGAAGGUCUGGGAACACUCGGACUGGCUGAGGCCAUCAAAGCCCAUCCAGCACAAUUUAAACCCUUGCUUGUGGAAAACACACAGCAACUAAAUGCAGAGGACUUGAUUAAUCUAUUUCAGCCUGUGCUGUCCAUAGUUGGGAGUAGCCGGCGCAGAGAGGAAAGCAGCUAUGCUAUGCUACUGGAGAGACUGGUUGAUUGAAAUAGAAGGUAACUCACAAAAAUGUUUUUUAGGGUUUGUACAGUUGUACAGUUUUUACCUUGAAUCUCAAAAGAGAACUCAUUCCUUGUUGUUAUUUCCCAUUAUUUUCCCAUUCCCGUUAACUGACGUUGACGUCACUUCACGUGGGUCACCCGCCAUGUAAGACGCUCAAAGUACAAAACGUUCUAUUAGGCGUUCAGUCGGUCGGUCGAACGCUUCCGUGCCAAAAUUAAGCGUCCGACCGACCGACCGAUCGAACGCAUAACCGAACGUGUAAGUGUCUUACAUGCCGGGUGACCCACGUGACGUGACGUCAACGUCUUGAAAUUAGCUUGUUUUUAACUAGGUAAGGGUCCAAGCUGUUGUUUAAAGACAACAAAUGUACAAUACAGGCACUAGAUGUAGAUACUGUAUUCCUAAAACAAUACUCAACCAUUUUUUUCCUGCAUCCUGCUGUACUUCCCUCAAUAAGCAGUCAGAGGAAGGUGUUGUAGGCUAUUCUAAGUCAUUCUGAGUGAUGACCUGAUAGCUAUAUAAAAAAAAGCUACCACCUGUCUGUCAUGACUUUCUCUGAUAAUUUUGAAAGAAACUUACAUACCACAUUCCAUGACAAGGUUCUAAAACUCUGUUUUCAUUUUUCAAAGGCAACGUGUGUUUAUGAGUCUGUGUGUGCUUGUGAGUUGCUUAAAGAGAGCAAAUAUAGUGUACAUACUUUCUUAAUUCAUUUCUUUCUAUUUUUUUUAUAUUAUUUUAUUAUUCAUACAUAUAUCAAUUUUAUAUAAACAUUUUUUACUCAUUUUUAAUAUUGUUAUUUGUCAAAUUCCUUAAUUUUAUGUUGUGUGCUAUAUUGUCUCACAAGUUAGAGAUAAAGAGUUUCAAUUUCAAGGUCUUCUGUGUCAUGGGACGAUGUUGUGAAGAAGUAAUUGUCCAUUGACUUCGCAUGGUAUAGUAACACUUGUUGAAUUAGUGCUGGUCAGACUGAGCACUGAGAAAGAUGCAAUUAAGUUUAUUCAAUAAACUCUACUCAU